GACGAACGCUGGCGGCGUGCUUAACACAUGCAAGUCGAACGGAGUGGCGAACGGGUGAGUAACACGUGGGUGACCUGCCCUGCACUUCGGGAUAAGCCUGGGAAACUGGGUCUAAUACCGGAUAGUGUGGGAUGGGCCCGCGGCCUAUCAGCUUGUUGGGGGGGUAAUGGCCUACCAAGGCGGCGACGGGUAGCCGGCCUGAGAGGGGGGACGGCCACAAUGGGACUGAGACAGGGCCCAGACUCCUACGGGAGGCAAGAGUGGGGAAUAUUGCACAAUGGGCGGAAGCCUGAUGCAGAGACGCCGCGGGGGGGAUGACGGCCUUCGGGUUGUAAACUCCUUUAACCGGCGACGCGGUAGACGGAGAAGAAGCACCGGCUAACUACGUGAGAGCAGCCGAGGUAAUUC
rnacentral:rRNA from 1 species